rnacentral:rRNA from 1 species
GAUGAACGCUAGCGGCAGGCCUAACACAUGCAAGUCGAGGGGUAACAGAGAGAAGCUUGCUUCUUUGCUGACGACCGGCGCACGGGUGCGUAACGCGUAUACAAUCUACCUUUUGCUGAGGGAUAGCCCAGAGAAAUUUGGAUUAAUACCUCAUAGUAUAUAUGAAUCGCAUGGUUUAUAUAUUAAAGGUUACGGCAGAAGAUGAGUAUGCGUUCUAUUAGCUAGAUGGUGUGGUAACGGCACACCAUGGCAACGAUAGAUAGGGGCCCUGAGAGGGGGAUCCCCCACACUGGUACUGAGACACGGACCAG